AUUACAGUCGUGAGCCACCGCGUCCGGCCAGUAUUAGACACAUUUUAAGUGCUCAAUAGCCACAUGUGGUUAGUGUCCUUAUUGUAUGGCACAGAGAGCAUUUCCAUAAUUACAGAAGCUUCUAUUUGACAGCACUAUUCUGAAGAAAUAAUUCUAAGGUACAUUGUUCUCUCUAGAUGCAAAAGAAAAGCCUAUAUAGGCUUUAUUUAAUCAUUAAUAAAAAUGUAUUCACUAACAAAAAUAGCUGGAUAGCUAAAUAUCUAUCAUUGGAAAAUUGUUUAUAGCAUACCCACGUCAAAGAUAAUUGAAGUUAAGAAUGGUUGAAAAACCAAUAUACUUAAAACAACAGUGGCUAUGCCAAAACAUGAGAUGUAAUUUUAGUAAAUGAAAAAACAAGUUGUAAACUCAUUACAACUCUAAAAUGUAUGUGGAUAAACAUUGGAGAAGUCACAAUUCCUGCUAUUUGAGCAGACACAGAGAAAUCUAGACUAAAAAGAUAUAGGGACUUGGAAGAUGGAAGAGCAAGUGAAAAUGGAAUAAGCAGCACAGGGAAAACUGGGCAUUUCUUCAGUGCGGGAUUAGCUACAACAAUUGUUUUACGGACAGAAAAGGAUUUCCCUCAUCUACCUUUCUUUGGAAGAUACAACUAAAACCAACAAAGGCCCAGUUUGGUAAAUAAGAAGUUUAAACAAGUAAGUGUUUUAUCAUAAAGUUUAAUUAUGAUUCAGAAAAAAUCGAGCAAAUAACUUUCUCUGAAAAAAAUAUAUUGACUCUGUAUAGACCACAGUUAUUGGGGGAAAGGGCUGGUAGGUUAAAUUACCCUAUUUUCUAUUCUGAAAAUGAUAUCAAUAGAAAGUCCCUUUUCCAGUCUGAGUAUAAAGAUACAUAUGCCCAAAAUGGCUGAGAAUAAAUACAA